AGGAUAAACGCUGGCGGCGUGCCUAACACAUGCAAGUCGAACGUCCUACGCAAGUAGGGAGUGGCGGACGGGUGAGUAACACGUGGGCAAUCUACCUUUCGGUGAGGAAUACCGGCGAGAAAUCGCCGACAAUACCGCAUACGCUUACGCAAGAAGCAAAGUCGCAAGACGCCGGAGGAGGAGCCUGCGCCCGAUUAGCUCGUUGGUGAAGUAAUGGUCUACCAAGGCGACGGACGGGUAG
rnacentral:rRNA from 1 species